AUGGGAAUCCAUACUACACCCUUAGAGGUAGUCUCACCACAGAUUUGGCUAUUAAAAAGGGGUUGUCUCAUCUCAGACAAUGGGGCAUAUCGCUAGGAUCAUCUGAUCGGUCCGGGACCCGCACCUAUAUCGAGAACAUAGCUCUGAAAGUGGUGUAGGGCGCAGCCGCCCUCUAGUCAUUCUCUAUGGAGCCGCUGAAAAUGGCCGAGAGCUCGGCUAUUUCCGUCUGGCACAUAGAAGUGAAUCGGAGUGGUGGCCAUGUCAUGUGCAGUGCGCUCCCAUUCACUUCUAUGGGGAGAGCGCUCAGUGGUGGCCGGACCAGAGUCCUCCAGCCACCACUUUGCGGGUCUCCGUUCUGGAUAUAGCGGUGGGACCCGCACCUAUCAGACAAUGGGGGCAUAUCCUAGUGAUAUGCCCCCAUUGUCUAAGAUGGGAAUACCCCUUUAAAGUAUAGUUACUAGUCAAUUACAAUUAAUUUGGUCACAAUCACCACACAGAUUAUGCCUCAAAGCAUAUUAGCGCAACAGGCAGUAAAAAAAAAAAUAAAUAAAUAAAAAAAACCUAUGCAUUGCAUAGUGGCAAAAAAUAAAUAAAUGUGAGCAGCGUGCAAAACUACAAAUUGCAAUGCACUACAAGCCAUUUUU